AUUGAACGCUAGCGGGAUGCUUUACACAUGCAAGUCGAACGAGUGGCGGACGGGUGAGUAAUAUAUCUGAACGUGCACAGUAGCGGGGGAUAACUACUCGAAAGAGUUGCUACAACCGCAUACUAUUGGAGCGGCCGAUAUCGGAUUAGCUAGUUGGUGGGGUAAAGGCUCACCAAGGCAACGACCCGUAGCUGGUUUGAGAGGACGACCAGCCACACUGGGACGGAGACACGGCCCAGACUCCUACGGGAGGCAGUAGUGGGGAAUUUUGGACAAUGGGGGAAACCCUGAUCAAGCCAUCCCGCGUGUAUGAGAAGGCCUUCGGGUUGUAAAGUACUUUUGGCAGAGAAGCGGUAUCUGAAGAAUAAGCACCGGCUAACUACGUGCCAGCAGCCGCGGUAAUUC
rnacentral:rRNA from 1 species